rnacentral:rRNA from 1 species
GUGGGGAAUUUUGGACAAUGGGCGCAAGCCUGAUCCAGCAAUGCCGCGUGCAGGAAGAAGGCCUUCGGGUUGUAAACUGCUUUUGUACGGAACGAAACGGUCCGGGUUAAUACCCUGGGCUAAUGACGGUACCGUAAGAAUAAGUACCGGCUAACUACGUGCCAGCAGCCGCGGUAAUACGUAGGGUGCAAGCGUUAAUCGGAAUUACUGGGCGUAAAGCGUGCGCAGGCGGUUUUGUAAGACAGGCGUGAAAUCCCCGGGCUCAACCUGGGAAUUGCGCUUGUGACUGCAAGGCUGGAGUGCGGCAGAGGGGGAUGGAAUUCCGCGUGUAGCAGUGAAAUGCGUAGAUAUGCGGAGGAACACCGAUGGCGAAGGCAAUCCCCUGGGCCUGCACUGACGCUCAUGCACGAAAGCGUGGGGAGCAAACAGGAUUAGAAACCCUUGUAGUCC